rnacentral:rRNA from 1 species
GUGCUUAACACAUGCAAGUCGAACGGAAAGGCCCUGCUUUUGUGGGGUGCUCGAGUGGCGAACGGGUGAGUAACACGUGAGUAACCUGCCCUUGACUUUGGGAUAACUUCAGGAAACUGGGGCUAAUACCGGAUAGGAGCUCCUGCUGCAUGGUGGGGGUUGGAAAGUUUCGGCGGUUGGGGAUGGACUCGCGGCUUAUCAGCUUGUUGGUGGGGUAGUGGCUUACCAAGGCUUUGACGGGUAGCCGGCCUGAGAGGGUGACCGGCCACAUUGGGACUGAGAUACGGCCCAGACUCCUACGGGAGGCAGCAGUGGGGAAUAUUGCACAAUGGGCGGAAGCCUGAUGCAGCAACGCCGCGUGCGGGAUGACGGCCUUCGGGUUGUAAACCGCUUUCGCCUGUGACGAAGCGUGAGUGACGGUAAUGGGUAAAGAAGCACCGGCUAACUACGUGCCAGCAGCCGCGGUGAUACGUAGGGUGCGAGCGUUGUCCGGAUUUAUUGGGCGUAAAGGGCUCGUAGGUGGUUGAUCGCGUCGGAAGUGUAAUCUUGGGGCUUAACCCUGAGCGUGCUUUCGAUACGGGUUGACUUGAGGAAGGUAGGGGAGAAUGGAAUUCCUGGUGGAGCGGUGGAAUGCGCAGAUAUCAGGAGGAACACCAGUGGCGAAGGCGGUUCUCUGGGCCUUUCCUGACGCUGAGGAGCGAAAGCGUGGGGAGCGAACAGGCUUAGAUACCCUGGUAGUCCACGCUGUAAACGGUGGGUACUAGGUGUGGGGUCCAUUCCACGGGUUCCGUGCCGUAGCUAACGCUUUAAGUACCCCGCCUGGGGAGUACGGCCGCAAGGCUAAAACUCAAAGGAAUUGACGGGGCCCCGCACAAGCGGCGGAGCAUGCGGAUCAAUUCGAUGCAACGCGUAGAACCUUACCUGGGUUUGACAUGGAUCGGGAGUGCUCAGAGAUGGGUGUGCCUCUUUUGGGGUCGGUUCACAGGUGGUGCAUGGCUGUCGUCAGCUCGUGUCGUGAGAUGUUGGGUUAAGUCCCGCAACGAGCGCAACCCUUGUUCACUGUUGCCAGCACGUUAUGGUGGGGACUCAGUGGAGACCGCCGGGGUCAACUCGGAGGAAGGUGGGGAUGACGUCAAGUCAUCAUGCCCCUUAUGUCCAGGGCUUCACGCAUGCUACAAUGGCUGGUACAGAGAGUGGCGAGCCUGUGAGGGUGAGCGAAUCUCGGAAAGCCGGUCUCAGUUCGGAUUGGGGUCUGCAACUCGACCUCAUGAAGUCGGAGUCGCUAGUAAUCGCAGAUCAGCAACGCUGCGGUGAAUACGUUCCCGGGGCUUGUACACACCGCCCGUCAAGUCAUGAAAGUUGGUAACACCCGAAGCCGGUGGCCUAACCGUUGUGGGGGAGCCGUCGAAGGUGGGACUGGUGAUUAGG